GGUCAAAUCUCAAAGUUAUUAUUUAAAAAAAGACAGAAGUAUAACAUUUCUGUAAGAUGAGACCACACCAGAAAUACAUGCAUACAAAAUAGCUCUAAUUACAACCAUUUUAAAACUAGCUAAAUAUUAAUAAGAAAAUUAUAUAUGACACGAAAGAACCACAGUGAAUGGAAUUAGAAAAAUUCGUUAAGAGUUUUACUUUACUCAAAGUAACACUUAGAAGUAAAAGGGGAAAAGAUUAAGACUAAAUUAGAAGAAACACAAGACCAAAUAAAUGCAAUUUUAAAAUGCCUUUGGGAAAACAGGAGGAAAAUUUUUCAAGAAAUCACAGAAGACAGUAAAAUGAUUUGAAUGAAAAUGACAAUAUGGCAGAUAAGUGAACAAAAUAUUAAAAAAUCAAGAAAAUACACAUUAAAAAAUUAAGGUAUACAUGUCCUGGUAUAAAAUCAAGAAAAUCUGUAAACACUUCC
rnacentral:lncRNA from 1 species